rnacentral:rRNA from 1 species
GGCCUGCCCACUGAUAGAAGUUAAAGGGCCGCGGUAUUUUGACCGUGCGAAGGUAGCAUAAUCAUUAGUCUUUUAAUUGGAGGCUUGUAUGAAUGGUUGGACAAAAAGCAAACUGUCUCAAUUAUAUUAAUUGAAUUUAACUUUUAAGUGAAAAGGCUUAAAUGAACUAAAGGGACGAUAAGACCCUAUAAAGCUUUACAAUUAUUUGGUUAAAUUAUAAAUUGUUAGUAUAACUUAAUUUAAUUAAUAUUUGUUUCGUUGGGGCGACGAGAAUAUAAUUUUAUUUAACUGUUCUUUUGUAAUUAAUUACAGAUUUGUUUGGGUGAAAAUUGAUCCUUUAUUAAAGAUUAAAAGAUUAAGUUACUUUAGGGAUAACAGCGUAAUCUUCUUUGAGAGUCCAUAUCGACAAGAAGGGUUGCGACCUCGAUGUUGAAUUAAAGUAUCCUUAUGGUGUAGCAGUUAUAAGG